GACGAACGCUGGCGGCGUGCUUAACACAUGCAAGUCGAACGGGCCCGCUCUCUUUUUUGGGGGUGGGUUGAGUGGCGAACGGGUGAGUAUCACGUGAGUAACCUGCCCCCUGCUCCUGGAUAACUGCUUGAAAGGGCGGCUAAUACGGGGUGUGCCGGCUGGUCCGCAUGGGCCUGGUCGGGAUAGUUUCAUCUUCGGGUGUUUCGGUGGGGGAUGGGCUCGCGGCCUAUCAGCUUGUUGGUGGGGUGAUGGCCCACCAAGGCGGUGACGGGUAGCCGGCCUGAGAGGGUGGGCGGCCACACUGGGACUGAGACACGGCCCAGACGCCUGCGGGAGGCAGCAGUGGGGGGUAUUGCACAAUGGGCGGAAGCCUGAUGCAGCGACGUCGCGUGAGGGAUGGAGGCCUUCGGGUUGUGAACCUCUUUCUCCGGUGGUGAAGGCCCUGUCCGUUGCGGCGGGGUUGACGGUAGCCGGGUAUGAAGCGCCGGCUAACUACGUG
rnacentral:rRNA from 1 species